GCAUCGGUAGCUCAGUAGCAGAGCUGUGAGACGGUGACACAAGCGGCCCGGGUUCGAGCCCCGGUAGAUGCA